rnacentral:rRNA from 1 species
GACGAACGCUGGCGGCGUGCCUAACACAUGCAAGUCGAACGGAAAGGCCCUGCUUUUGUGGGGUGCUCGAGUGGCGAACGGGUGAGUAACACGUGAGUAACCUGCCCUUGACUUUGGGAUAACUUCAGGAAACUGGGGCUAAUACCGGAUAGGAGCUCCUGCUGCAUGGUGGGGGUUGGAAAGUUUCGGCGGUUGGGGAUGGACUCGCGGCUUAUCAGCUUGUUGGUGGGGUAGUGGCUCACCAAGGCUUUGACGGGUAGCCGGCCUGAGAGGGUGACCGGCCACAUUGGGACUGAGAUACGGCCCAGACUCCUACGGGAGGCAGCAGUGGGGAAUAUUGCACAAUGGGCGGAAGCCUGAUGCAGCAACGCCGCGUGCGGGAUGACGGCCUUCGGGUUGUAAACCGCUUUCGCCUGUGACGAAGCGUAAGUGACGGUAAUGGGUAAAGAAGCACCGGCUAACUACGUGCCAGCAGCCGCGGUGAUACGUAGGGUGCGAGCGUUGUCCGGAUUUAUUGGGCGUAAAGGGCUCGUAGGUGGUUGAUCGCGUCGGAAGUGUAAUCUUGGGGCUUAACCCUGAGCGUGCUUUCGAUACGGGUUGACUUGAGGAAGGUAGGGGAGAAUGGAAUUCCUGGUGGAGCGGUGGAAUGCGCAGAUAUCAGGAGGAACACCAGUGGCGAAGGCGGUUCUCUGGGCCUUUCCUGACGCUGAGGAGCGAAAGCGUGGGGAGCGAACAGGCUUAGAUACCCUGGUAGUCCACGCUGUAAACGGUGGGUACUAGGUGUGGGGUCCAUUCCACGGGUUCCGUGCCGUAGCUAACGCUUUAAGUACCCCGCCUGGGGAGUACGGCCGCAAGGCUAAAACUCAAAGGAAUUGACGGGGCCCCGCACAAGCGGCGGAGCAUGCGGAUUAAUUCGAUGCAACGCGUAGAACCUUACCUGGGUUUGACAUGGAUCGGGAGUGCUCAGAGAUGGGUGUGCCUCUUUUGGGGUCGGUUCACAGGUGGUGCAUGGCUGUCGUCAGCUCGUGUCGUGAGAUGUUGGGUUAAGUCCCGCAACGAGCGCAACCCUUGUUCACUGUUGCCAGCACGUUAUGGUGGGGACUCAGUGGAGACCGCCGGGGUCAACUCGGAGGAAGGUGGGGAUGACGUCAAGUCAUCAUGCCCCUUAUGUCCAGGGCUUCACGCAUGCUACAAUGGCUGGUACAGAGAGUGGCGAGCCUGUGAGGGUGAGCGAAUCUCGGAAAGCCGAUCUCAGUUCGGAUUGGGGUCUGCAACUCGACCUCAUGAAGUCGGAGUCGCUAGUAAUCGCAGAUCAGCAACGCUGCGGUGAAAAAGUUCCCGGGGCU